GACGGAGGAUGCAAGUGUUAUCCGGAAUCACUGGGCGUAAAGCGUCUGUAGGUGGUUCGAAAAGUCCACUGUUAAAAAUUGAGGCUUAACUUCAAAGAUGCCGUGGAAACUUUCAAACUAGAGUAUGGUAGGGGUAGAGGGAAUUUCCAGUGGAGCAGUGAAAUGCGUAGAUAUGUGGAGGAACACCGAUGGCGAAGGCAGCCCCCUGGGUUAACACUGACGCUCAUGCACGAAAGCGUGGGGAGCAAACAGG
rnacentral:rRNA from 1 species